rnacentral:rRNA from 1 species
AUUGAACGCUGGCGGCAUGCCUUACACAUACAAGUCGAACGGCAGCACGGGAGCAAUCCUGGUGGCGAGUGGCGAACGGGUGAGUAAUAUAUCGGAACGUGCCCAGUCGUGGGGGAUAACGCAGCGAAAGCUGUGCUAAUACCGCAUACGAUCUAUGGAUGAAAGCGGGGGAUCGCAAGACCUCGCGCGAUUGGAGCGGCCGAUAUCAGAUUAGCUAGUUGGUGAGGUAAAGGCUCACCAAGGCGACGAUCUGUAGCUGGUCUGAGAGGACGACCAGCCACACUGGAACUGAGACACGGUCCAGACUCCUACGGGAGGCAGCAGUGGGGAAUUUUGGACAAUGGGCGAAAGCCUGAUCCAGCAAUGCCGCGUGCAGGAUGAAGGCCUUCGGGUUGUAAACUGCUUUUGUACGGAACGAAACGGUGAGCUCUAAUACAGUUUGCUAAUGACGGUACCGUAAGAAUAAGCACCGGCUAACUACGUGCCAGCCGCCGCGGUAA